rnacentral:sRNA from 1 species
GCCAGACACAGAGGUGCAUACCUGUAAUCCCAGGAACUUGGGAGACUGAGACAGGAGGAUCACUUGUUCAAAGCCAGCCUCAGCAACAGCAAGGUGCUAAGCAAUUCAGUGAGACCCUGUCUCUA